AACGCACGAGACCUGCGGACCUGCGGAAGGAUCAUUAUUGAAGUUUGAAAAAACUCCAAAACACCUGUGAACUUACCUAUGUUGCCUCGGUAGGUGGCUCUCGCUGCCCUGUAGGAACCUUUCUGUCAGUGGUCUGACUCCCUGGAAGAAGUUCGUUUAGUGGUCUCUCUCUCCCUGGAGGGGGGGUUCGCUAGUGGUCUGACUCCCCGGAGGAAGUUCAUUUAUAGAAGGGCUUCAGUG
rnacentral:misc_RNA from 1 species